ACAAAGGCUCUUUUAGGAGCCACCAAAUAUCACGAAAGUGAAAGAU
rfam:Nematostella vectensis strain CH2 x CH6 NEMVEscaffold_22_Cont4102, whole genome shotgun sequence.